rnacentral:tRNA from 1 species
GCCGGAGUGGUGGAAUUGGUAGACACAAGGGACUUAAAAUCCCUCGCUCUGUUUUGGGUGUGUCGGUUCGAGUCCGACCUCCGGUA